rnacentral:rRNA from 1 species
AUGGAGCGCCUGCCGGCGGAACUCGUCUCGGCGGCGUUCGCCGGCACCACGCCACGUGACGCCGGUCGUGCCGCCAUGGUCUCCACAGCAUUCCGCGCUGCAGCCGACUCCGACAUCGUUUGGGCCCGCUUCCUGCCGCCCCUCGAGCCGCUGGCCCCCGAGCCGCAGUCAAAAAAGGACAUGUUCUUACGCCUCUUGGACGGCCCCGUCCUCCUCCGAGACAGGCUCAUGACUAUGUGGCUGGACAGGGAGACCUUCGCCAAAUGCUACAUGCUGUCGGCGAGGAAUCUGUUCAUCGCGUCGGGCCACAUGCCGCAGCACUGGAGCUGGAUCCCUCUCUCCGACUCCAUGUUCUCUGAAGGGGCUCAACUAAACAGUGUGACAUGGCUGGAAAUCCGUGGAGGCAUACACACCGACAUGCUCACCCCAGACUCCAAGUACGGGGCUUACCUCGUGUUUAAGAGGACCCAAAAUUUCAGUGGGUUCAAUUAUCCAAUCCAGAAGGCCACGCUCUACUUUGGACAAAUAAUGGAAUAUACCAGUCCGGUUCUCCUUGGUGAGAAUUGGACGCCGCCGCCAGAACUGGGUGUAGCUCAGCCUCAGCGCAGAGCCGACGGUUGGAUGGAGAUAUCGCUGGGUCACUUCCACACGAGCGGGAAUGAAUUAUAUGCUGAGAUGUCCUUCAGCCUGAUGGAGACGGAAGGAGAAGUGACACAGAAGCGUGGUCUGAUCGUGCAUGGCAUUGAGAUCAGACGUGAGAAAUCAGGAUGA